GUGAUGAUGUCCAGGGCGCCGAUGUGUGGGGAUGGUUUCUGGUCGCUGA
rnacentral:snoRNA from 1 species